CAUAGAGAUCCCUGCAUUCAACAGGAGGGGUGACGUGUUCAACUGGGUGGUCCACCUCCAAGAUUGUUUCAGGGAAAUGUGAUAAAUUUACAUAUCACACAUGAUGGUGGGAGGUCAGUGUCUUCAGAGGUCUCCUCCUCCUGGGGCCGUAGACAGGAGCCCCGGAACAGUCUGACAAAAUAGCUAAGAGAUAUCAUGUCCUCAGGAAACACCUCCUCACCAGGUCACUUUUCUCCAGGCACCUCCCUCCGGCCGUAAAUUCAAAGGAAACAACAGAACUGGCAGCACAAAUGGACUCAGGACUCUCAUGUGGCCUACGCUAAUUGGAUCAACCAUUCUUCUGCCAAUGGACAUUUUGCUGUGCAUGUGUGAUAACGCUCAUCUGGUUUCCCAUUGCUCCUGCAACAGAGAAGAAAAAAGAAAGGAAGAGAGAAACAAAUCAAAACCAAAAGCAAACCGAAGUCUUACGUGGGAAGGUGAAGUGCAGAUCCCUGACAAGUCACCCUCUGGGUGCGUUUCACAAGCGGAAGUUAGAACGAAUUGCUUGUAUUUGUUCUGAGCAACGGAGAGGAGAUUUUGGAUUCAUACGUAAUACAUCCAACAACGUCAAAUGCGGCUGCAAUUUUCAAUUGCAUUUCAUCGCCAGGAGGGAAAUAUUUAUCAUCCGCAAAAGUGCAUUUGUAGAUAACACAUUUUUCCUCCUAGCCAGAGUCACAGAUAUCAUAUGAAGGAGACUUUAGAAUGAGGGUAAUUGAAAUAAUACUUCUAAUUUUUAGUUUUCCCCCUGUUAACUCCCUGUAAAAACCAAUCACAGUACUUAGCACUGUUUUAUUAUAUACAUCUUUGGGUCUAUUUUCAUUCAUUCAUUCAUUUAAUAAAUAUGGUCAUGUGUCCCUUAAUGACAGGGAUACACACUAAGAAACAUUGUUAGGUGAUUUUGUCCUUGUGUGAACAUCAUUGUGUACCAACGCAAACUGAGAUGGUGCAGGCUUGCUGUAUGCGUAGACUGGAUGGGACAGCC